GACGAACGCUGGCGGCGUGCUUAACACAUGCAAGUCGAACGGAAAGGCCCCCACUUUUUUGGUGGGGGUGCUCGAGUGGCGAACGGGUGAGAAACACGUGGGUGAUCUGCCCUGUACUUCGGGAUAAGCUUGGGAAACUGGGUCUAAUACCGGAUAGGACCAUGGUUUAGUGUCUCAUGGUGGAAAAAUUAUUGUUUUGGUGCAGGAUGAGCUCGCGGCCUAUCAGCUUGUUGGUGGGGUAAUGGCCUACCAAGGCGUCGACGGGUAGCCGGCCUGAGAGGGUGGACGGCCACAUUGGGACUGAGAUACGGCCCAGACUCCUACGGGAGGCAGCAGUGGGGAAUAUGGCACAAUGGGCGCAAGCCUGAUGCAGCGACGCCGCGUGGGGGAUGACGGCCUUCGGGUGGUAAACUCCUUUCGUUAGGGACGAAGCCGCACCUUUUUGGGGUGUGGUGACGGUACCUUGGUGAAGAAGCACCGGCUAACUACGUG
rnacentral:rRNA from 1 species